rnacentral:misc_RNA from 1 species
AGAAGAGCUAGCAUGAACACUGGACCCCUGGACUUUCAGGUUCUUCUGCGAUGAAACUGUAGCUGAAGCCAUAUUUACCAUAACUGGUAUUCUUGGAGGAGCAGUUCUUUCAUCUGUUUGUGCAAACCAUUCGCGCAGCCCAGCAACACUAUUUAGCAUUUGCAAGAGACAAUGUUGCUGAAAUGAUGACAAAUAGCCCACACCCCAUCCUUUCAGAUCAAUUUGCAUAAGAUGCUGCACCUGAGUUCUUGGCUUCCCAU